rnacentral:tRNA from 1 species
CGGAGGGAUGUGUGAGUGGUUGAAACAGGCGGUCUUGAAAACCGCUUUAGCCGUGAGGCUAACGGGGGUUCGAAUCCCUCUCCCUCCGCCAU